UUUUAAAAUCAAUUGUUUCAGAUGCGCGCUAUUGUUCGUCCGCUAUUUUUAGGCAGCAGACCCACAAAAAUAUUUUACGAUUUUCUCACUUUAAUAACGACUCGUGUAGCUAUGACUUAUGCAACUGUACCCUUCGUAUUGUUGCAGCUAGGCCCCAGUCUCGCUUUUUACGGAAAACUUUAUUAUUCUCUGCACUUCAUCGCAGUAGGAGCUUUAUUGUUACCUGGAAAGAGUAAACGUUCUUCCUCCGUACAAAGUCAUGAACAUCCUAAUAUAUCUUUGAAAACUGCUUCUGACUGCAUGCCAAAGGAAAAUGGCGAAACCAGCAAUAAACUAAAAAUAUCUUAGAAAUAAUGUAUUUUUUGUGGAAAGAAAGGGAUUAAUUUGAUGUUUGGUGAUAGUUGAGUAACGGGUUGUCACAUAAUUAUAGUGUCAUUUAAUUUUAAGGCAUUAGAUGAGGCUUCUAUUAGCUGAUGGGCGAUUAUUGUUUUAUUGCAUUUACAUUUGAUUGGAUAAAAAAAUAAUUAAACCUUUAAUAAAAAAUAUUAUGAUAAAACCUAUCGAAUAAUAAGUUUAAAAUGCUUGUAACCUGAAUUCUAAAGUAUUCUUAUAUUUGAUUAAUGUGAUUUAAAUGUUUGCUUGUAUGAUGCCUAUCGCUCAUGGGAAAACAGCAGCUCAUCGGUGAGUUGCUAUUUUUUUAUCAUAGUUUUAAAAUUUCAUUAUCAUGGCAUGAGUCUACUACCUACUACUUACACAGUUUAUGUUUAUUUAUAACUAGCAUUACUUAAACCAUAUUUUCUUAAUAUUAUGCUGUAGGAUGGUAACAUGUCCACAUCGGGCGCACCAAUAGAAACCCAUUAAGGCUUUUAAAAUGUACCUACCUAUUAAUUCCAAUCACUAUGGUAAUAUUUGCGAUCAUUUUUUUUCUGAACUACAUAAUAUUACACAGUAAUUUUCAAAGUUCCCAUUACUAUCACGAUUACGAAAAAUAAGAAAUUGUUACAUAUUUGUAAAAAGAAAAAUUAAUGGCUUCUAUAUGUUUUUGUGUCCACUUGUGUUUCUGAUGAAUACCUAUUAUUUUUUUGCAUCAAUUACCUACUUUACUUGUUUUUUUUAUGUGUGUUAGAAAGCAACUUUAAUUGUUAGUGCACUACAAAGUUUCAAGUGAAUGGUUAGUUAUGAAUAAAUGAGAUAUGAUAACGUCUUCCACGUUUCCUUAGAACAUUAAC